rnacentral:tRNA from 1 species
GCUCCCGUUGCUUAGCUUGGUUAACAAGCGAUAGGUUUCUUGUCUUGAUCGACAAGCGCAGGUCUUAUAAACCUGAGUGUAUAAUUGAGUUCCAAUUUACCGGGAAAUCGGGGGUUCAAAUCCCCCCGGGAGCA